GACGAACGCUGGCGGCGUGCUUAACACAUGCAAGUCGAACGGAAAGGCCUCUGCUUGCAGGGGUGCUCGAGUGGCGAACGGGUGAGUAACACGUGGGUGAUCUGCCUUGUACUCUGGGAUAAGCUUGGGAAACUGGGUCUAAUACCGGAUAGGAACUGCCUUUAGUGUGGUGGUUGGAAAGUUUUUUCGGUGCAAGAUGAGCUCGCGGCCUAUCAGCUUGUUGGUGGGGUAAUGGCCUACCAAGGCGUCGACGGGUAGCCGGCCUGAGAGGGUGUACGGCCACAUUGGGACUGAGAUACGGCCCAGACUCCUACGGGAGGCAGCAGUGGGGAAUAUUGCACAAUGGGCGGAAGCCUGAUGCAGCGACGCCGCGUGGGGGAUGACGGCCUUCGGGUUGUAAACUCCUUUCGACAGGGACGAAGCGCAAGUGACGGUACCUGUAUAAGAAGCACCGGCUAACUACGUGCCAGCAGCCGCGGUAAUACGUAGGGUGCGAGCGUUGUCCGGAAUUACUGGGCGUAAAGAGCUCGUAGGUGGUUUGUCGCGUCGUCUGUGAAAUUCCGGGGCUUAACUCCGGGCGUGCAGGCGAUACGGGCAUAACUUGGGUGCUGUAGGGGAGACUGGAAUUCCUGGUGUAGCGGUGAAAUGCGCAGAUAUCAGGAGGAACACCGAUGGCGAAGGCAGGUCUCUGGGCAGUUACUGACGCUGAGGAGCGAAAGCAUGGGUAGCGAACAGGAUUAGAUACCCUGGUAGUCCACGCCGUAAACGGUGGGCGCUAGGUGUAGGGGGCUUCCACGUCUUCUGUGCCGUAGCUAACGCAUUAAGCGCCCCGCCUGGGGAGUACGGCCGCAAGGCUAAAACUCAAAGGAAUUGACGGGGGCCCGCACAAGCGGCGGAGCAUGUGGAUUAAUUCGAUGCAACGCGAAGAACCUUACCUGGGCUUGACAUACACCAGAUCGCUGCAGAGAUGUAGUUUCCCUUGUGGUUGGUGUACAGGUGGUGCAUGGUUGUCGUCAGCUCGUGUCGUGAGAUGUUGGGUUAAGUCCCGCAACGAGCGCAACCCUUGUCUUAUGUUGCCAGCAUUUGGUUGGGGACUCAUGAGAGACUGCCGGGGUUAACUCGGAGGAAGGUGGGGAUGACGUCAAAUCAUCAUGCCCCUUAUGUCCAGGGCUUCACACAUGCUACAAUGGUCGGUACAGCGCGCAGCGACACUGUGAGGUGGAGCGAAUCGCUGAAAGCCGGUCUUAGUUCGGAUUGGGGUCUGCAACUCGACCCCAUGAAGUCGGAGUCGCUAGUAAUCGUAGAUCAGCAAUGCUGCGGUGAAUACGUUCCCGGGCCU
rnacentral:rRNA from 1 species